rnacentral:rRNA from 1 species
UACGAAGGGGGCAAGCGUUGUUCGGAAUUACUGGGCGUAAAGGGCGCGUAGGCGGUGCGCUAAGUCAGAUGUGAAAGCCCUGGGCUUAACCCGGGAACUGCAUUUGAUACUGGCGCGCUCGAAUCCGGGAGAGGUUGGUGGAAUUCCCAGUGUAGAGGUGAAAUUCGUAGAGAUUGGGAAGAACACCGGUGGCGAAGGCGGCCAACUGGACCGGUAUUGACGCUGAGGCGCGAAGGCGUGGGGAGCGAACGGG